rnacentral:rRNA from 1 species
CGGUUGAUCCUGCCGGAGGUUACUACUAUCGGAGUUCGAUUAAGCCAUGCGAGUCUAAAGGUUUCUUCGGAAGCCUUGGCGGACUGCUCAGUAACACGUGGAUAACCUACCCUUGGGACUGGAAUAACCCCGGGAAACUGGGGAUAAUACCGGAUAGAUCAGGGAUGCUGGAAUGCACCUUGAUCCAAAGCUCCGGCGCCCAAGGAUGGGUCUGCGGCCUAUCAGGUUGUAGUGGGUGUAACGUACCUACUAGCCGACGACGGGUACGGGUUGUGAGAGCAAGAGCCCGGAGAUGGAUUCUGAGACACGAAUCCAGGCCCUACGGGGUGCAGCAGGCGCGAAACCUUUACAAUGUGCGAAAGCAUGAUAAGGGAACUCCGAGUGCCAGUAUCUAAUACUGGCUGUCCUUGUGCCUAAACCGCACAAGAUAGCAAGGGCCGGGUAAGACCGGUGCCAGCCGCCGCGGUAACACCGGCGGCCCGAGUGGUAGCCGCUAUUAUUGGGUCUAAAGGGUCCGUAGCCGGUUCGAUAAGUCCUCUGGGAAAUCUGGUUGCUUAACAAUCAGACUGCCAAGGGAUACUGUUGAACUUGAGACCGGGAGAGGUAAGAGGUACUUCAGGGGUAGGAGUGAAAUCUUGUAAUCCCUGGGGGACCAUCUGUGGCGAANGCGUCUUACCAGAACGGGUCUGACGGUGAGGGACGAAAGCUGGGGGCGCAAACCGGAUUANGUACCCGGGUAGUCCCAGCCGUAAACGAUGCUCGCUAUGUGUCNGNACGGUGUGACCGUAUCUGGUGCCGUAGGGAAGCCGUGAAGCGAGCCACCUGGGAAGUACGGUCGCAAGACUGAAACUUAAAGGAAUUGGCGGGGGAGCAC